UUCCUUCUGCCGGGUUCGUGCUUCGCGGCUUUCAUGAUCCCCUUAUGUGAUUGAACCAGGAGGGCAAACGGUCGCUCAGUGUGCACGCCGAGCCAUCUCUUCGGAGCUCUGGAUAAUUCGGAAGCCUAAAGCGCGAUCCGCGCCCCCCACCUAGGCCUAGGCCUAGGGGUUCAUGAACACCCGCACACGGCUCACGCGGUUGGAAC
rnacentral:other from 1 species